rnacentral:rRNA from 3 species
UGGCGACCAUAGCGUUGUGGACCCACCUGAUCCCAUGCCGAACUCAGAAGUGAAACGCAAAUAGCGCCGAUGGUAGUGUGGGGCUUCCCCAUGUGAGAGUAGGACAUCGCCAGGCU